rnacentral:lncRNA from 1 species
AUGGGGCAUCUCCUCCAGGGCUGYCCCCAAAGCCCCAUCCCUGUCCUCAGCGUGGGGAUGCCUCAGCUCUCCUGUACUCACCACCUCUCCGGCCACCUCGACCCCCAGCAGCCACCAAAGGCUCCUCAUGAAGACAGGCCUCAUCCUCAUUGUCAUCGGGCACCUCAACUUCAUCGCUGGGGCCUUCAUCCAUGGCAUCAUUCCCUGUUUCAUGGCCAACCCCCAGGACACCACCUCCCUGCAGUACUUGGUCUCCAACUUGGUUGUCUCUGCACUGCUGGUACCGCAGGGCACAGGUGCACAGGAGGAUGCAGGGGUGGACGCGGUGGGGACACAGGGUGGAUGCAGGAUGGACAYGGCAUGGAUGGGGAUGGAUGCAGGGUGUGCACACGUUGGACACGGCGUGGAUGGGGAUGGAUGCAGGGUGUGCACACGUUGGACACGGCGUGGAUGCUGGGCGCAGCCUGGGCUCGCUGUCCUGCCUGCUGGGGCUGUCCCUCUCCACCGGGCUUGCGCUGGGCAGCCGGCGCCGGGUGCUGCUGGCCCCCUGCACCUUCGCUGACGUGGCCUUCAUCCAGGCUGCCCACGAGUGCCCCUUCCAUCCCCCCCCCCCCGUGUCUCUGUGAGUCCUGGCGGCCCCAAGGGCGUCCUGCCCUGGGGUCCCACGGCCCCAGCACCCCGUCUUUGAGGGGGUCAGGGCUCAGCGGCCGUGCCAGCCCCAAGGCUGAGUGGGACACGUGUGGGGAGGGUGCAGGGGGCCUGAUGCCCCCCGUCCCCGCAGAGCUCCUCGCUCUCCCUCUGGACCUUCUCCCUCAUGCUCGACUUGGUGCAGAUCRUCUUCAGCAUCCGCUGCCUCCUGCUCUCCCUCAGCAUCCUCCGCCCCGGCCACUGCUGCCGCGGGAUGCAACGGAAAAAGGAGACGCUGGCACCGUCCCCUCGUGGCUCACCCCUGCCCCACGCAGCCCCAUGAGCGGCUCGCAGGUGCCCGGUCUCAGCACCCCAGCUCAGCAGCCUGGGCUCGGCCCAGACCCGCUCCCACGGCACCGGACCUGGCUCCAGCCCUCGGCUGCCACAAGGUUACGCCAAAAAUCCCUGUCCUCAGUUCUCUGCCCCGGCCGCGGUGCCCCGACCCUCCCUGCUGUGCCCCAGCACCCGCAUGGCCCCACAGAGACACCCAGCCUCCCCUCAGCCCGGCUUUUGGGUGGACACACAUCCCCCGGGUGCUGCCCACCACCGGCCGUGCAGCACGAGCCCAUCCCCACGGCCUCAGGCCACCUGCAGCUGCGGCAAGGGGGGAGAACGGGCCCGAGCUGGACUUUCCCCUCAACAUUGAUGGUCCCUUUCCCACCAGCRGCUGCACUGAGACAAACUUUAUUCUGCAGGUGUUAA